AUCACCGAUUCUCUCCAUGACCUUCUUCUCUCUGUAUACAUCGUCUCUCUCCUCCGGAUCCAUCGUCGUGGUCGAAAGUCAUGGUCGAGUUCUGACAUCUCUGUCUCACGGUGAAACCAUCAUUCCUGAUAGAUCCAGAGGCUCACGGUGAAAGCGAAAUCGAUUGGAUUAGAAAUCAUGAUGAAGACGAUAAAGAAUUUCUACAAGUCCAUCCUAAUUCUUCAUCUUCUACUCGGAGGUUGCGUCGUUUAAGCGAACGUCGGUGUCGUCGAGCGUUGGGGCCGAGUCGAGCAUAUAGCCAAGCCUGGAUGCCACUUCUUCAACCCUCUUGCAUGUCAGUGGCUCGCCAGAGUCCUGUCCACCAGGAUCAACUCUCUCGAGGUCAAAAUCGAGGUCAGAAUCGAGACGCUGAGUUCUUUUAUGGAUGCAACAAUGCUACCACCAAGUCUGCAAAUUCGAAAGCAGUGACGAGAAAUGAUCGAUACUUGGCAAUUGCCACCUGUGGUGGUUUGAACCAACAGUGAAAUGGAGUGAGAGUUCUAUUCACCUUUCUCUGGUUUUGUACUUUAAAUCUCUGUGGAUUAUCUAUCACAUUAGAGCUCUACACGAAAUCUUCGUUUUUUGCAAUUUUUCUAGAGUUUUCUUGUGGAAUCUACAAGUGGGAACACAGGGAUUGGUCUUGCUUUCAUUGCUGCUUCGAAAGGAUAUAAAUGCCUGCCUCCAUGAGUCUGGAAAGAAGGCUUCUUUUGAGGGCGUUUGGAGCCGAGCUUGUGUUAACUGAACCUGCAAAAGGCAUGACUGGAGCUAUUCAGAAGGCUGAAGAGAUCUUUAAGAACACUCCCAACUCCUACAUGCUCCAACAGUUUGACAACCCACCCAAUCCCAAGAGUCAUGUUAUUGGAACCGUACAUGGAGAGUUUGAGUGAGAGAAUAGGAGUUAUAAGUGUAUUGCUCAGAAAAAUAUUUGGUCUCCGUCCAGUGGCCGUAAGGAAGAAGGUCGUGGCUCGAUGGUGGUUCAAGCGCUGAGUGCAGCCACAGCAAGUGGUUGCUCAGCUUUGAUAACUAUGCCGGUAGACACAAUCAAGACGAGGCUGCAGGUUUUAGACACGGAGGAGAACGGGAGGAGACGAGCAAUGACAGUGAUGCCGACGGUGAAGAGCUUGAUGACGGAAGGAGGUGGGUUCGGGGCUUGUUACAGAGGGCUAGGACCAAGGUGGGUCUCAAUGUCAAUGUCUGCAACAACCAUGAUCACAACCUAUGAGUUCUUGAAGCGUCGUUCCACAAAGAAGCAGAGAUGAUAUAAAGUUAUAUAAACCAUUUAUAGUCUUAAGUUUCUCUGUUUCUUGUGUUGAAAUGAAGAAACAUAAUGGCAAAAAAACAUUUUUUACUCUCUAAUAAACAAACAUAAAAUAGAGCCAA